UACUAGGCCUGUCCUCCAUCCCCAACCUCUCUCCCCUGCGUUUCCUCACGCUGUAGCCGCCGGCGUCGCUAGGGAGUUGUCGACACCGCGCUGCCGACGCGAAGAUAGCUCACGCCUUCGCCAUCCCCGUGCGCCGUCGCCAGGGAGCCGUCCACGCCGCCGACGCGACGUGCGCCGUGCGCUGCCGACGCGCAGAUAGAGCCUUCGCCAUGCGCCGUCCCUGUGCGCCGUCGCCGCUGUCGCCAGCGAGUCGUCCGCGCCGCCGAAUCGCAGGUACAGAUCCGUCGACGUGCGCCGUGCGCCGUUGCCGUCUCCCCAUUUCCCCGGCGCUUCGCAAGGUGGGGACUCCGGCGACCCCGACGAUGAAGGCACCACCGACGUCGAGGAGGGAGGUGCUCAAGGCUUCCGCGUCGAUGACCGGGACGGGGGAGAAGGGUGGAGCUACGAAGACGGCGGCGGCUCGGAACUGGGCUGUGGCAUCGACGAGCGCCUGGCCCGAGAUCUGGCCCUGGCAUCGACGGCGCCGCCGCCCAAGGUGCUACAAGUGUCGACUCCCAAGCGGGGACCAGCGGCAUCGAGGACGCCGGGAUCGGGACUUAGUGUGCAAAACAGAAAAGCUGAACUCUGCAAGAUGUCACAGCUUAGCUAUUUCUCACCUGAAAGACAUAUGUCCCUCGGAAUUCUUCAAUGAACAAGUUUGUGUACCAGUAUAACAAGCUUCUUAAAGAUAGGAAUGAAGCUGAAGAUUCAGACGAACACAAAAACAAGCAGUGCAAUCGGAAAGAGAGAGUUCUCGAUCCUUUCCUCCAGCAGACCGAAGUAGGAAGACUUCAGUGGGAACAUGAUGACACCAUAGACUGCCUCCAUGAAGCUCUCUUUGAUGGCAAAGAAGCAUGGAUCCAGGGUUGGGAAGUGGAUCUUCAUAACUGGCGCUACAACCAUCCCAUUGCAUUAGGCCGGCGCUGCCCAAGUAUUUUACAUGCUAAGAUGUUCCUGUUUCAAUACCCAGCAAUAAUUUAAUAUAUGGAUCAGAACCAACCUAGAGGAUAUAAUUUUAUUGAUGCAUCCCUUUCCCUCUCAUUGCAGCUAUAAUUCUAGAGUGCACACAAUGCAUUAUGCUCUUCAUUUUGAUGGAGAUGACGUGACGGACUUAUCGGUUGAGGAUGACCAUUUGCUUGUGCGAGCCGACCAGUUUCAAGCUCAUGAGGAUUCCAGGGAACACUUGUGAACUCCCUGCUUUCCUUCCCCAGGCUGCAGCCUGAUUUAGAGACUACCUUCUGUGGUUGUUAUCUUUUAUCACCAAAAACUGAUUUGCUCCAAUUUGGCCUGUAAUCGAAUUGCUAGUUACCUGAGAUUAUCGUGUGUUGGAUCAUUCCUAUGUAUGGCUCUUUUGAAUGUACUACAAGACUGGUGGUGUGUCUAAAAUACUAGUAUUGCUUUGUUAUGAUUU